CAGCCACCGCCUGCAGCUGGUUGUCCUCUGGGCUUGCUGACUGCUCUGCGACCACGUACAGAGAGGACCCCUGUCUGCUGGCCUGUCCUCCUCAGAGGCGGAUGCUGAAGUUGGGCCCAAUGAAGAGUGUGGGGGUGAGGGCACCAGGGGUGCUACUCCUCCCCGCGGCUGGAGCCAGAGGACAGAUGCCCCUCCUCUGUGAACCCAGGAGCAAAAUCCUGGGUGCACCCCACAACCCCCUCCAAAGGCCCUGACUGCAUGGAGCCCAGUCCCCCAGCAGGGACUUUGUCCCCUCUCUCUUCCCAUCCAAAAUCCCAGGGACCACUCCCUGCCCACCGGCCCUUACCUCCCUCUCCGUGUUGCUGGGAACCCAGGCUUCAUCUCUGAGCCAGGGGGCUGCCCCUGAAGAGGACUCGGCAGCCCCCCUUCCAUGGUGGUGCUGGCUCCCCAUGAGCUCAGCAGGGUCAGAGCUUGAUGGAGCUUCCACACGACUCGCUGAGGAGGCAGCUCAGAAAGGAACACAACUCGGCUGGAGCUUUUGCAUCCUUGCCUCCACACGAGGCAGGAGUCUGGCAGAAAGAGCAGUGCUGAGGAGUUAGAAGGUUGUGAGCAACAAGGAGCCAUUAGCUGUGUCUGGAGAAGUCAGCUAUUUUUACCUACUGGAGUGAAAAACAGUUUUCUCUCUUGAUAUCUGUAUGUGAUAUUUUGUGAAAAAAAUAAAAUCACUUCUUUUAAUCAUUUGCCUAAAG
ensembl:lncRNA